rnacentral:rRNA from 1 species
UACGAAGGGUGCAAGCGUUGUUCGGAAUCACUGGGUGUAAAGGGUGUGUAGGUGGCAAAGCCAGUCGAGUGUGAAAGCCCUGGGCUUAACCCAGGAAUUGCGCUCGAUACUGCCUUGCUUGAGUGUGGGAGAGGAAAGUGGAAUUCCUAGUGUAGCGGUGAAAUGCGUAGAUAUUAGGAGGAACACCGGCGGCGAAAGCGGCUUUCUGGCCCAACACUGACACUGAGACACGAAAGCGUGGGUAGCAAACAGG